GCAUUUGCAAGUUGUUCUCUCCGGUCGUUUCAGAAGCCUCUCUCUCGUAAACAAGUUCAUGCUCUGAAUGGGCCAGUGAUUUGUGAACACUAUGAUGGCAUCUUGUUUUGCACUGCACGUUCAGAGGAGCAGACCCUGUCCUAAAUUUUUAUGACCCAACUGCUCCGUACUCCCUGGUUAAUGGCACAACUGCUCUGUUUCCUCUACUCUGUCUGAAAGUGUAGAAAGUAAAAUAAAUUGGUCAAUGCAACACUCGGCACCAAAUUCGCAGUCUGACUACGAACUGCGUGGGGUAUAUACACCUGGUUCAGAGAAAAUUCAAAGAAGAAAUUGUCAUUAGAAAUUCAAAGGAAAUUACCGAUCUGACAGACUAACUCCCUAGUCA
rnacentral:lncRNA from 1 species